rnacentral:rRNA from 1 species
UCGCCUGUUUAUCAAAAACAUUUCCUCUUGAUGGAAUAUGAGGUCAGACCUGCCCCCUGAAAUUUAAAUGGCCGCGGUAUAUUGACCGUGCAAAGGUAGCAUAAUCAUUAGUUUUUUAAUUGAGGACUGGAAUGAAGGGUUAAACGAAAAAUAACCUGUCUCCUUUUUGUGUUUAAAAUUUUAUUUUAUAGUGAAAAAGCUAUAAUAUAAUAGGAGGACGAGAAGACCCUAUAGAGCUUUAUAAAUCAACGUUAUUAGAUUGGUAAAGGUUGAGGUAAAUUUCAGUUUAUUAAAUUGGGGUGAUUCUAAAAUAAAUAAACUUUUAAAAUUUUUACAUUUUUGGUGGGUGAAAGAUCUUAGGAUAAAUGGAGAAUAAGUUACCUUAGGGAUAACAGCGUAAUCUUCUUGGAGAGUUCAAAUUGAUAGGAGGGGUUGCGACCUCGAUGUUGGAUUAGAAAAAAUUAUGGGGCAGCCCUCGUAAAACUAGGUCUGUUCGACCUGUAAAUUUCUACAUGAUCUGAGUUCAAACCGGAGA